rnacentral:rRNA from 1 species
UACGUAGGGGGCGAGCGUUGUCCGGAUUUAUUGGGCGUAAAGAGCUCGUAGGCGGUUUGGUAAGUUGGAUGUGAAAUCUCCAGGCUCAACUUGGAGGGGUCAUUCGAUACUGCCAUGACUAGAGUUCGGUAGGGGAGUGUGGAAUUCCUGGUGGAGCGGUGAAAUGCGCAGAUAUCAGGAGGAACACCCGUAGCGAAGGCGGCACUCUGGGCCGGAACUGACGCUAAGGCGCGAAAGCGUGGGGAGCGAACAGG